CAGGAUGAACGCUGGCGGCGUGCCUAAUACAUGCAAGUCGAGCGAACAGACGAGGAGCUUGCUCCUCUGAUGUUAGCGGCGGACGGGUGAGUAACACGUGGAUAACCUACCUAUAAGACUGGGAUAACUUCGGGAAACCGGAGCUAAUACCGGAUAACAUGUUGAACCGCAUGGUUCAACAGUGAAAGACGGUCUUGCUGUCACUUAUAGAUGGAUCCGCGCCGCAUUAGCUAGUUGGUAAGGUAACGGCUUACCAAGGCAACGAUGCGUAGCCGACCUGAGAGGGUGAUCGGCCACACUGGAACUGAGACACGGUCCAGACUCCUACGGGAGGCAGCAGUAGGGAAUCUUCCGCAAUGGGCGAAAGCCUGACGGAGCAACGCCGCGUGAGUGAAGAAGGUCUUCGGAUCGUAAAACUCUGUUAUUAGGGAAGAACAAAUGUGUAAGUAACUAUGCACGUCUUGACGGUACCUAAUCAGAAAGCCACGGCUAACUACGUGCCAGCAGCCGCGGUAAUACGUAGGUGGCAAGCGUUAUCCGGAAUUAUUGGGCGUAAAGCGCGCGUAGGCGGUCUUUUAAGUCUGAUGUGAAAGCCCACGGCUCAACCGUGGAGGGUCAUUGGAAACUGGAAAACUUGAGUGCAGAAGAGGAAAGUGGAAUUCCAUGUGUAGCGGUGAAAUGCGCAGAGAUAUGGAGGAACACCAGUGGCGAAGGCGACUUUCUGGUCUGUAACUGACGCUGAUGUGCGAAAGCGUGGGGAUCAAACAGGAUUAGAUA
rnacentral:rRNA from 1 species